rnacentral:lncRNA from 1 species
AUCACGCCAGCGAGGAGGCGACCAAUGGUGGCUGAGUUGGGCGGGCUGCGGAAGUCUGGGGCUCAGGCUUCACCCCGCGGCUGGAAAAGAAGGGGAAGGGUACUAUGUCUGAGCAGGUACUGUCAUGGCUGUUCUGUAAGUCGCAGCCUUCCCCUGGAGGUAGAAAACCUGGUCAUUGGGCGGUGGAAAGCACUAAACACAGGGCUGUAGAGCCGCUCUUUAGGCAGACCGUUGAAUGCAUUUGUAAAUUAAAGUCAUUCACAACGGGACCCUCUGGCUUAAGAGACACCUCAAAUGUUUUGGGGUUGGAAUACUAAUAAUAGCAAUAAAAAUAAUAGUUAAUAUUUAUGGAAUGCGUACCAUGUCCUAGGCACUCUGCUAAGCACUUUUUGUGGAAUUAUUUAGUUCGAUUGAGCAACCUUGUAAACUGCCUACAAUUAUUUUAUUAUCUACCAUUUUGAAGAUGUGGUGGGACCUGAGGAGUUAAAUAAAUUGGGAAUCACGUGCUCUUUGCCACAGUUCCGUGGUCCCUUCAGGGGCCCUGCAGUCCAGCUUCCUCUUUCCAAAGGGGGAAAUUUCCAGAGAAGAAAAUUAGAUUUUCCAGUUCUCACAGCAAAGCCAGAGACCCCUUUCUCAAUGCCCCCUAUUUUCUGAGUCUUCUAGCUGGAACAGGAAGGGAUGGCAUUGAGCAUCUUUUCCUGGCCUCCCCUCCAUCUCUGUCGGCCAGUAAGCUGACCAGGAAUUCAGUGACUUUGACAACAGAUGGUCUGAGAGUUGGCAAUGGAUGAUUGAGCUUUAUUGCCCCUCUCUUAUGGAGGAUGAGACAAGGAUUGUAAAUAUGGACAGGAAGGGACACGAACUGCCAGGGAGCAAGUACUGAGAGCUUACUUUUAAAAUUUUAAUUUAGGGGUGCCUGGGUGGCUCAGUUGGUUGAGUAUCCCACUCUUGAUUUCGGCUCAGGUCAUGUUCCCUGGGUCCUGGAAUCAGGCCCUCGUGUCGCUUUGCUAUGGAGCCUGCUUAUGAUUUUCUCUCUCUCUCUCUCUCUCUCUCUGUCUCUCCCCGCCCCCCCCACUCGUGCCUUUUCUCUCUCUCUCAAAUAAGAAUAAAUAAAUAAAUUAAAUUAAAUUAAAUUAAAUUUAAAUGUAAUCCUCACAACCACCCUUUGAAAUAUAAUGAUUAAGAACUGCGGACUUGAAUGUACAUCUUGGUCCUAUACCUUGGCAAUAAAUUUGGGCAAAUUACUUCAUCUGUCUGAGUCUCAUUGGAAAUAAUGAUGUCUAUGUUCCUUGGGGUUGGAUUAGAAGGGAUAUAAAGUAGUUAACUCACUGCCUGUCGUAUGGGUAGUGAUCUGUAAGCGAUGACUACAUCUAUGAUUGCUGUUGUUAUCCUUAUUGUAAAGAUGAAGAAAGAUUAUCUACACUGUUUGCCUAAAGUAAUUAUUUGGGAUUGGACCUCAAGUUUAAUUGGUACUUUGUGGUUCCUUAUUUUUUGUUAUUUUGACCCCAGUUUUCACAUUUGUCGUUUAGAAAUAUAAUUUUAUUUAUAUUUUUUAUAGAAACAUUUUUCUGAGCUCCCCGAUAUCUGACCUGAUCUCUGAACCAUGAGUGGUAGACUUAACCUUCUUUUCCUCUUUUUUUCCCUCUUGUCAUUCUAUCCCAUAUGGAGCUGUAGAUAUUCUUAAAUGGUCCCGUUUGCCCACAAUUUUGUUGGGUGAGAAUUAUGAUUUCUGAUCAGACAUGGCUUCAAAGAGUGUUCAGUAUCUAAUAUGAUUCACCUGCUGGUUUUGUAAAAAUGUACAUACCCUGUUCUCUACCAACAUAUAUCUUUCAGUUAUUUCCUGCUUUUUUUUGACAGCAUCAGCUUGGGAGUCAGAAGGGAAGUGAUAUGUGUGUCUUGUGAUAGGCUGGCCAAGGACCAAGAGGAAGGAGAGCUAAAAUGAGAAGCCAUAAGAAUUUGGGUGAGUUUUGGACACAAGCUUUUGCUAGUUUCCGUGGCCACAGAGACGAGUGUACAUGUGGAUGACUUAGUUCAAUUUAGCUAAGUUAGGCUUACACUGGUGAUGCUGUGUCCCAGAAAACUACUGAACUUUGAACAGUGAGAAUUCUAGUCUCAGCUCAGCCAUGGAAUUUCUUCUUCUUUUUAAAAAAAAAUUUUUUUAACAUUUAUUCAUUUUUUGAGAGAGAAAGAGACACAGCAUUAGUGGGGGAGGGGCAGAGAGAGAGGGAGACAUAGAAUCUGAUUUUUUUUUUUUAAUUUUUUUUAACGUUUAUUUAUUUUUGAGACAGAGAGAGACAGAGCAUGAUGGGGGAGGGUCAGAGAGAGGGAGACACAGAAUCCGAAACAGGCUCCAGGCUCCGAGCUGUCAGCACAGAGUCUGAUGUGGGGCUCAAACUCACGGAGUGCGAGAUCGUGACCUGAGUCGAAGUCGGCUGCUCAACCGACUGAGCCACCCAGGCGCCCCUAGAAUCUGAUUUUUUAACGAUUAUUCAUUUUUUGAGAGAGAAAGAGACAAAGCAUGAGUGGGGGAGGGGCAGAGAGAGAGGGAGACAUAGAAUCUGAUGCAAGCUCCAGGCUCUGAACUAACAGCACAGAGCCCAACGUGUGGCUCGAACUCACGGACUGUGAGAUCAUGACCUGAGCCGAAGUCGGACGCUCAACCAACUGAGCCACCCAAGCACCCCGAUCAGCCACUGAAUUUCAGUGUGGUCCUGGGAAAGUCCUGUUUCCUCUCUAGGUUUCAGAUUACCCAUCUCUAAAAUGAAACAAUUGAGGUUUCUUCUGUCUCUGAUUUUUGAGGUUCACUAAAAUAUGUCUCUUUUUCAGGAACAUUAUGAGAUGUGUUCAACUGCAUUUUCCUUUAAGUUUUUUUCCAGUGGUAUUGAAACUGACAGGUUAUCCUGCUUCGGUUUUUGGCCAGAAACUUUCUUCUGCAUCCCCUAUUGACUAUCAGCCCCAUCCCUCCCUCCAGUACUGUUUGCUUAACUGCAUUUUCUCUCUUCUCUAUCAUGUCCUAAAAACCCCUCCCAGCAGGGUGAGUGUGAGAGUUGGGGAGAGUAUCUAAAGGGGCCAAGAGACUGUGUUCCUGUUUCAAUAUUUAUAGCUUAUCACACACAAUAAAUUCACCCUAUCUUGCGGAGGAAUAGAGGAGAAUGGACACAUCCUCAUUUUGUUUUUGCUGAGUGUGUGUCAAUGGAGAUAGGUGGUAGAUCGUACCUAAUGAUGCUGAUGAGGUCUCCUGGCAUAAAGUAAACACACACACAUACACCUUGGCUUCAAAGCCCAGACCAAGCUUGUAACAGUGGAUUCUAUCUCUAAUUAGAUGGUCAAGAACAUGCUCCAGUCAGACCUUGGCUCCACAAAUUCAAACCAGCGUCUCACUGUGGGAGGGCGUCAUUACUAUAAGCAUCACCAGCAUCACCAUCAUGAUAGUGGAAACACAAUUUUAUCCAGCAAAUGUUAACUGAGAUUUAACUAUGUUCUAGGCACUGGAAUACAUGCUAGGAGAAGAGAGAAGUGAAAAAGAGAGAAAUAAUAAUCAAGUUAACAAAUCAGUGAACAAGAAUAGGCUGUGGUGAGUGAUGUGAAGGAAAUAAUCAGGUGGAUGUGUGAGGGCAGAGAAGGAGGGCUCUAUUUUAGUUUGGAUGGUCAGGGAAGGCUUCUGCAAGGAGGUAGUGUAUGAACUGGAAUCCUUGCAGAUUUCUGGGGAAGACAGAGGUGUGACUGGCACUGGAGGUAGGUUUGGCUUGAGGAACAGAGCAGAGUAUGGGGAGUAAAGUGGAGUAAAGUGAUUGGAGGUACAGUUGGAGAGGUAAGCAUGCUGGACCUUGAGGACCCCUGGAAAUUUUCAAGUGGGAGAUUGACAUGAUCUGUGAUUUUAGAAAGCCACUCUGGCUACAAUGUGAAGAAUGAAUGGAUUGGAGAGGUUCCGUGACUUGGAAAUGGAAAGGCUCCUCCCUCGCCCUCCUGGCCCACAUGCAAGCAGUCAACAUGUCUAAGGGGCUCCGGGAACACUCUGGGAAGUGCGUGAGAACUUGAAUCAGUGUGGUGGCAGCAGAGAGGGAGAGAAGUUCUGGGAUGAGAACUUCAUUUAACAACUGCUUACUGAGCUCCUACAGUGUGCCAGUUAACAUUCUAGGUUUUGGGGGUAUGGUUAAGAACAGGACAAAGUCCUGCCCUCCUGGAGUCUACAUUUCAAAGGGGACCUAGAUAGUAAACAAGUAGACUCUUGUCUCAUUGGUUAACCAUAAUAUUUUAGAAAGUAUAAAUGCUAUGAAGAUAAAGCGGGACAGAGAUCAGGAGUGAUAGGGCUGUUUGAGAUAGAGAGCUAGCGAAGUGGAUUAGGGGAAGGAAAGGGAGGUAAGAGGACAGGUUUUAGGGUGUGGUAGUGUCACUUGCCAAGGAGCAUGGGGAAUAAGUAAGUGGGAAGUCAAGGGUUCUGCCUUGGCCUUGUUGGUCCUCCAGGACCUUCCUCUCCUGAAAUUGGGGAUGCAGUCCAUGUUUUGUCAUAGUGGUCAGCAUGUUUGAACACUUGGUGGUUUGUAUCAUAGAGGCUCCCAGCUGGGGUGUCACAUACCUCUGCCCUGCCCGGGGAUGAGUUCCCUUGGACAUUCCUUGUGGGGACAGGGAAGAUCCUCUGGAGCUCCACUCGGACCAUUGAGCCCUGCUUCCUGGCACUUUAACCUAACAAGUCCAGAUAUGAUUUCAUCAUCCUCCUCCCCCUCUUUUCCUGCCUUCUCACUUUCCUAAAGGCUCUGUCUCAGCUGGUGGUGCCAGCAUCCACUCAUUUGCCAACACAGAAAUCUGGGAGUCAUCCUGGACUCUUCUCGCCCCUUCCCAGCCCACAUCUGACCAGUCACUAAGUCCUCUCGCUGCUGUCUUCAUGUCUGUUACUUCUAUCCAACCUCACCACUCUCAUCUGAGUACCAGCCUCCACAUCUCCCAUGUCUACUCUUAAAGGCUCUUCUGCCUCUUGACUGGCUUUUUUCCAUCUACCUUCCUUACUGAUGCCAGAGUGAGUUUUCUCAAAAGCGAACUGGACCAUAUCAUUUCCAGGGCUUAGAACCAUGGCUCUCCCCCAGUGUUGUCUUCAGGAUGAAAUCCAGCCCCUUAGCCUGAGAUAUAAGACACAUUAUGAUUGGCUGGUGUAAACUUCUUUAGCUGCUUCCCUUGUAUUUGUGCACCCUCAUUAUGUAUGCUUUGAUAAGAUAAAAACUGCUUCUAGCAAACGGAGUACAUUGUACUGCCUGAUGCUGUCACCCCUUUUGCAUGUGGAAGACUUUCUUCUUGAGUUCCCAUUGAGCACCUAUUCAUACUUUAAAACCCAGCCCAGAAAUCCCCACCUCCUCUGGAAAGACUUCUUUUCCUUCAUGCUACUUCUGGUCCCAGCACAAGCUUCUCCUUGCCAUUCUUUUUGCAUAGUAAUAUAAUGAUGCCUUUACUUACCAAAUGAACUCUUUCAAGGCUAGGACCGUGACUUAUUCUUUUUGGUAUCCCCAAGCUUAGCAUGGGGGCUAACCCAGAAUAGUGGCUCACAAAUAAAUAAAUUGGAUGAGUUUGGGUCCAAGACCUUCAAAUGCAACCUGGAAACUCUCAGCCUUCUAGAAACUUCUAAGAACCAGCAAGUAUUGGCAACGAAGUCAGUUUAGCAGGAGUGAAUCAUUGUCCUUUAUGGGGUUAAUACUGAAGAGAGUAUGACCUGGGAGCCAUUCUGUACUUCCUAACAUUGUGUUUAAUCAAGGGCACCUCUAAUUACAGCUGGGCCUCUUCCUGGGCCUAGGACACCUGUAAGACUGUAUUUAUCAAGGCUUUGACCAGGUUAGAGUAGAGUUUAAUGGUAAAAGCUAGGCAUCACAAUUAGGCAGAAUUAGGUUUUGAUCUUUGGUUGGUUGUGCAACUUUGGAGUGGUAAUUUUACUUCUUUAUGUCUUGGUCUCCUCAUCUAUAAAAUGAGGAUAAAAAAGGCUCCCAUGCCUUUGUAAAGAUGAAAUGACUUCCUGCAUCUGAAGUGCUUAACAUAGUACCUAUCAUAUGGGAGCAAAAGUGUGGCCUUACUGGGAACUAUUAGAGAAACAAAGCAUUCAUGCUGAUAUUUGAGCCUCAGUGUAAAUGUCCCUUCUUCUCUUACUAGUGCACUCAAGCUGACUAUAUUAAGGGUGUCUGUUGACCUUGUAAAAUGUGAGUACUUUGUUCAUAGCAUUCAUCAUGAGACUAUUUAUGUUACAUUUAGUCUGAUGUCCUCAUUCAGCUUAGAAAGCUCCUAGAAGGCAAGGACUCUGGUCUUUAAUCCUCAACUCUUAACACAUUUACUGGCCCAUAGAAAGCUCUCACUGACUAUUUGAAUGAAUGUAAAAGCCUUCCCUACUGGCAUGCUAUGUUGGCAUGGGGUAUUUGUGUAUGUGUGUGUGUUUGUGUGUGUGUGUGUGUGGGGGGGUGUUAUUUGGUGAGAUUAGCAUGGUAGAAAGCCCAUACUGAUGGAGAAUGGGGGCAGACUCUGGUUAGCAAGCUCUGUACCAAUGAAGCAAGACACUAAGAGCACAUAAGGACAGGCCCUUCAUCAUAGGAUUUUUAAGGCUGUCACUGCCUUAGGCUAUGAGGCCAGUGUGUAUGAUAAGAAUAGUUUGCAUAGUUGUACUUUGGAAAUCAGGGCUCUGACAGAGUUUAACCAACUACCCGUCAAGAAUAGCUAGCUUGUAGGAACUUAGAACCUUAUGAACAUUCCAAAACUGGGAAUAAUCCACAAAAAAUUAUUUUUUUACUUACUUUGAAAAGCAGGAUUAAGAAAACCCCACCCACCUUUUCACUAUUCUCUGUAUCUACAAGACAAAUUAUCAGACCCUUGCUGUGCACAAGCCCACAGAUAGGAGGAUAAAGGAGUCAGGAACAAACCGUGUGCUUCACACGAAGUUACUGCAUGAGGGAUAAGGAAGAGUGAAGAGUGUAAUGUGGUGGCCAGACUAGAUGCCAUUCAAACUGUGGCCCGCAGGGCAGUGCUGACCCCUGCCUGGGAUUAGCUCCCAGUGGGGUAGGGAGCUUGCAGCAAAAUGUACAUCAAUUGCCUCACUGACUGACACACUGUUUUUAGUUCAGUUGAUACUCUUUUCCUAGCAAGAUAUACUCCAUGAAGGUGGCAUUUCAGUGUUUUACAUGUUGGCCCAGUUUGUCACUAUCUUAGGCUUGGACUAGUAACAAGUAGUUCACAGGCCUAGAGCAUGGACUUUGAAGUCGGUCAGACUUGGCUGUACUACUUAAGCAAGUCCUCUAAGUUAUCUGAGCUUUAGAUUCCAAAUCUGGAAAAUGGAGAUUUAUUCUUGACCAACAACAUUUUAAGCACAUACUAGAUUCUAGGAACUAUUCUACAAGCUGAGGCUAUUGCAGUGAGCUUGGCUGAUAGGAUUCCUGCUUUCAAGGGGCCUGCAGAUAAAGAAGUGAGAUAAUUCCAGUUUACAAUACAUGCUAUGAGAAAGUCAACUAACUCUUUAAUGUGUAAAAGAUUGGUUGAUUAGGGAAUGGUUGACUUCCAUUUAAGUUUGAGAAGGAGCCAGUCAAGCAAAGAACUCAAGGAUGAGUGUUCCAGGCAGAGAGAAGAGCAUGUGCAAAGGCUCUGAGGCACAUUGGUGAAACAAGAUGACUAGUGUCUGGGAGUCGAGUAAAGGAGGUGAGGUGAGAGAGAAUCCAGUUCAUGCAGGUCUAGUAGAACACAGAGAAGGGUUUGGAUUCCAGUCUUAAAGCAAUGCAAAACCAUUGGAGGGUUUUAAACCGGAUUAUAAAGUUUCUUGGAAACCACGUUAAAGAGUUUGGACUUAAUCCAAAGCACAACAGAGACCCAUCAAAGAUUUAAAAGCAGGGGAGUGUCAGGAUUAGAACUAGGUUUUAGAAAGUUUUCUCAGGCCUGGUAAAGAUAAGGUGGUGGCUUAGGUGGGGCUCAGGCAAAGAUUCCAGCAGUGGGAAUGAAUAAAUAAGUGUUAAGAUUGAUUGAAUUAACAUCAUUCAUUAGACCACAAGUUUCCUUAUGUCGUGAGCCUUACCAACUCUUGCUUUGGAUGUUUUAUAGCAUAAACAGAUCUUUGUCAAAGUCAAUUUUUAAUUAACAUCCAAUUAGUUUAAUUGACUAGCUAACAGAAAAGCAGCUUAACUUCUCCAUGUACUCUACAGAAGCUGAGUCCUUAAGCACAAGGCUGAUCUUGUCCAUGCUGUGGAUGUCUGUCCUUUUAUCUUGUUCACUUCUCAUCUGUUUACAUUGAUGCUUAAGGCUAGAAGGUGAGUUGGUUUUCAGUAGCAACUGAACUGGAGCCAUUUUCAUCUGGAACCACAUAAAUGCUUAAGCCCUGUUUGGAAUGUCUGCUUCCACAGUCAUCCAGCCACAGAGCCCAUGGCACAAGGCAAGCUGGUAGGUACUUGGCCAGCCUGCUUAAUAGAAUUGUCAAUGCUCCCACGUGAGAAAAGACCUAUUCAUUACCAGAGGCUUUGCUAGCCAACACUGGCUCAACCAAUAUCAAGUAACAAUGAUGAGAAAUGUUUAUGGAAUAGCUACUAUGUACCAGGUACUGGGCUAAGGAUUUACAUUUAUCCUCUGAUUUUAAAGCUCACAACAAUCUUAUACAACAGAUGUUCUCAAUUAACUCCAUUUGAUUAAUUAGUUAAUUAAUUUUUAAAUGUGUGGGGUUUAUUUAUUUAUUUAUUUAUUUAUUUAUUUUUACUUUCAUUUUUUAAAAUUUAUAUCCAAGUUAGUUAGCAUAUAGUGCAAUAAUGAUUUCAGGAGUAGAAUCCAAUGAUUUCUCCCAUACAUAUAACAUCCGGUGCUCAUCCCAACAAGUGUCCCCCUAAUGCCCUUGCCAAUUUAGCUCAUCCCUCCACCCACACCUCCUCCAGUAACCCUCAGUUCUCUAUAUUUAAGAUUCUUUUAUGGUGUGUCCCCCUCCCUGUUUUUAUAUUAUUUUUGCUUCUCUUCCCAUCUGUUCAUCUGUUUCGUAUCUUAAAUUCCACACGUGAGUGAAGUCAUAUGGUAUUUGUCUUUCUCUGACUAAUUUUGCUUAACAUAAUACACUCUGGUUCCAUCCACGUUGUUACAAAUGGCAAGAUUUCAGGGGCGCCUGGGUGGCGCAGUCGGUUAAGCGUCCGACUUCAGCCAGGUCACGAUCUCGCGGUCCGUGAGUUCGAGCCCCGCGUCGGGCUCUGGGCUGAUGGCUCAGAGCCUGGAGCCUGUUUCCGACUCUGUGUCUCCCUCUCUCUCUGCCCCUCCCCCGUUCAUGCUCUGUCUCUCUCUGUCCCAAAAAUAAAUAAACGUUGAAAAAAAAAUAAAAAAAAUAAAUAAAUAAAAGUAAAAAAAAAACCAAAUGGCAAGAUUUCAUUCUUUUUCAUCACCAAGUAGUAUUCCGUUGUCUCUGUGUGUGUGUGUGUGUGUGUGUGUGUGUGUGUGUGUAUACACCACAUCUUCUUUAUCCAUUCAUCUGUCAAUGGACAUUUGGGCUCUUUCCAUACUUUGGGUAUUAUUGAUAGCACUGCUUUAGCAUUGGGGUGCAUGUGUCCCUUUAAAAUAGCACACCUGUAUCUUUUGGAUAAAUACAUAGUAGUGCAAUUGCUGGGUCAUAUGGUAGUUCUAUUUUUAAUUUUUUGAGGAACCUCCAUACUGUUUUCCAGAGUGGUUGCACCGGUUUGCAUUCCACCAACAAUGCAAAAGAGAUCCUCUUUCUCUGCAUCCUUGCCAGCAUCUGUCAUUGUCUGAGCUGUUAAUUUGAGCUAUUCUGACAGGUGUGAGGUGGUAUCUCAUUGUGGCUUUGAUUUGUAUGUACCUGAUGAUGGGUCAUGUUGAGCAUUUUUUCAUGUGUCUGUUAGCCAUCAGGAUGUGUUCUUUGGAAAAUGUCUUUUCAUGUCUUUUGCCCAUUUCUUCACUGGAUUGUUUGUUUUUUGGGUGUUAAGUUUGAUAAGUUCUUUGUAGAUUUUGGAUACUAGCCCUUUAUCUGAUAUGUCAUUUGCAAAUAUUGUCUCCCAUUCCAUUGGUUGCCUUUUAGUUUUGCUGAUUGUUUCCUUCACCAUGCAGAAGAUUUUUAUCUUGAUGAGGUCUCAGUAGUUCAUUUUUGCUUUUGUUUCCCUUGCCUCUGGAGACGUGUUGAGUAAGAAGUUUCUGCCUGAGUAAGAGGUUUUUGCCUGCUUACUCCUCUAGGGUUUUGAUGGUUUCCUGUCUUAUGUUUAGGUCUUUCAUCCAUUUUGAGUUUAUUUUUGUGUAUGGUGUAAGAAAGUGGUCCAGGUUCAUUCUUCUGCAUGUUGCUGUACAGUUUUCCCAACACCAUUCACUGAAGAGAUUGUCUUUAUUCCAUUGGAUAUUCUUUCCUUCUUUGUCAAAGAUUAGUAGGCCAUACGUUUGUGAGUCCAUUUCUGGGUUCUCUAUUCUGCUCCAUUGAUCUAAGUGUCUGUUUUUAUGCCAGUACCAUACUGUCUUGAUGAUUAUAGCUUUGUGAUACAGCUUGAAGUCCAGGAUUGUGAUACCUCCUGCUUUGGUUUUCUUUUUCUGGAUUGCUUUGGCUAUUCAGGGUCUUUACUGGUUCCAUACAAAUUUUAAGAUUGUUUGUUCUAGCUCUGUGAAGAAUGCUGGUGUAAUUUUGAUAGGGAUUGCAUUGAAUAUGUAGAUUGCUUUGGGUAGUAUUGACACUUUAACAGCAUUUAUUCUUCCAAUCCAUGAGCAUGGAAUAUUUUUCCGUUUCUUUGUGUGUCUUCUUCAGUUUCUUUCAUAAGCUUUCUAUAGUUUUCAGUGUAUAGGUUUUUCACCUCUUUGAUUAGGUUUAUUCCGAGGUAUUUUAUGGGUUUUGGUGCAAUUAUAAAUGGGAUCGAUUCCUUGAUUUCCCUUUCUGCUGCUUCAUUUUUGGUGUAUAGAGAUGCAACCAAUAUCUGUGAAUUGAUUUUGUAUUCUGCGACUUUGCUGAAUUCAUGAAUAAGUUGUAAGAGGUUUUUUGGUGGAAUCUUUUGGGUUUUCCAUAUACAGUAUCAUGUCAUCUGUGACGAGUGAAAGUUUGACCUCCUCCUUGCCAGUUUGGAUGACUUUUAUCCCUUUGUGUUGUCUGAUUGCUGAGGCCAGGACUACCAAUCCGCUGUUGAAUAGUGGCGAGAGUGAACAUCCCUGUCGUGUUCCUUACAUAUGUUCCUGAAACUGAGAGCUUUCCCCAUUGAGAAUGAUAUUAGUGGUGGGUCUUUCGUAUAUGGCUUUUAUGAUCUUGAGGUAUGAUCCUUCUAUCCCUACUUUCUUGAGGAUUUUUAUCAAGAAAGAAUGCUGUAUUUUGUCAAGUGCUUUCUCUGCAUCUAUUAAGAAGACAUGUGGUUCUUGUCCUUUCUUUUAUUAAUGUAAUAUAUUGCAUUGAUUGAUUUGUGGAUAUUGCACCAGCCUUGCAUCCCAGGUAUAAAUCCCACUUGAUCAUGGUGAAUAAUUCUUUUCAAUUUUUUUUAAUGUUUAUUUAUUUUUGAGAGACAGAGAAAAUGAGUGAGUGGGGGAGAGACAGAAGAGAAGGAGACACAGAAUCUGAAGCAGGCUCCAGGCUCUGAGCUGUCAGCACAGAGCCCAAUGCAGGGCUCAAACUCACAAACUGCAAAAUCGUGACGUAAGCCAAAGUCAGACACUUAACCAACUGAGCUACCCCAGUGCCCCUGUUAUUUCUUUUAAUGCAUCGUUGGAUCCCAUUGGCUAGUAUCUUGUUGACAAUUCUUGUAUCCAUCUUCAUGAGGGAAAUUGGUCUAUAGUUCUAUUUUUUUUAGUGGGGUCUUUGUGUGGUUUUGGGAUCAAGGUAAUUCUCAUAGAAUGGGUUUGGAAAUUUUCUUCUAUUUCUAUUUUUUGGAACAGCUUUAACAGAAUUGGAGUUAACUCUUCUUUGAAUGUUUGGUAGAAUUCCCCUGGAAAGUCGUCUGACCCUGAACUCUUGUUUUUUGGGAGGUUUUUGAUUACUAAUUCAAUGUCUUUACUGGUUAUGGGUCUGUUCAAAUUUUCUAUAUCUUCCUGUUUCAGUUUUGGUAGUUUAUAUGUUUCUAUGAAUUUGUCCAUUUUUUCCAAAUUUCCCAAUUUAUUAGCAUAUAAUUGCUCAUAAUAUUCUCUUAGUGUUUUUAUUUCUGCAGUGUUGUUUGUAACCUCUCCUCUUUCAUUUAUUAUUUUAUUUAUGUGGGUCUUUUCCUUUUUCUUUUUGAUCAAACCAGCUAGGGGUUUAUCAAUUUUGUUAAUUCUUUCAAAGAACCAGCUCCUAGUUUCAUUGAUUUGUUUUUUUGUUUUUUUUUUUUUUUGUUUUUUUUACUUUGAUAGCAUUGAUUUCCACUCCAGUCUUUAUUAUUUCCUGUCUUCUGUUGGUUUGGGGUUUUAUUUGCUGUUCUUUUGCCAGCUCUUUAAGGUGUAAGGUAAGGUUGUGUAUCUGAGACCUUUCUUCCUUUUUCAGGAAGGUUGUAUUGACACAUUAAAUGUGUGGGUUUUUUUAAAAAAGAUUUUAUGUUUUUUCAUUUGAGAGAGAAAGAGUGUGAGUGGGGAAGGGGCAGAGAGAGAGAAAGUGAGAGAAAGAAUCCCAAGCAGGCUCCUUACUGUCAACCCACAGUGUGACAUGGGGCUUUAACUCACAAACCAUGAGAUCAUGACCCGAGCCAAAACCAAGAGUUAGAUGCUUAACUAAUUGAGCCACCCAGGUGUCCCUAAAAGAUUUUAUUUUUAAAUAAUCUCUAUACCUAACAUGGGGCUCGAACUUAAACCUCGACAUCAAGAGUUGCAUGUUCCAUCAACUAAGCCAGCCAGGUGUCCCUUAACUCCAUUAAAAAAAAUUUUUUUUAAUGUUUAUUUAUAUAUUUUGAGAGAAAGAACACACCCACAUAAAGUGGGGGAGGGGCAGAGAUAAGGGGAGAGGGAGAGAAUCCCAAGCAGGCUCCUUCUGUCAGCACAGAGCCUGACCUGGGGCUCAGUCUCAUAGUGCAUGAGCCUGUGGCACAGUUCAUCAUGACCUGAUCCAAAAUCAAGAGUUGGAUGUUUAACCGACUGAGCCAUCCAGGUACCCUCCACUUUACUCCAUUUUAAAGAGAAAGAAACUGGCAAUCAGAGAGGCUAAAGUAACUUAUCAAAUGUCAUACAACUAAUAGGAUGCUGACCAGGAUUUGUACCUAGUUCUCUUUGAUCCCAAAGCCUUGUGUCGUUUUAAUAGUAAUAUUUUAAUAGUAACUUUUAAUUCAUUUUAUAUGUUAGUGAUUCUUUAUUAUUAUUAAGGUUUUAUAUAUAUAUUAAGGUUAUUGUUUUAAUUCAAGCAAUUUAAGAUUACAUAAAGUAACUACAGCAAAUAUUUGUCCUGGUUAUCUAUUGCUGUGUAAAAAAUCACUCCAAAGCUUAGUGACUUUAAAGAAACAGCAAUAAUUUAAUUAUCUCUCAUGGUUCUGAGGUCUGCCUGGGUUUAGCUAAUACUAUCUCACUCACUGUCUUCUAUGUGGUUACAGUUGGUUAUUGGCUGGGGCUGGAAUCUUCUUAAGGCUUUCUUACUUCCGUGUGGCUAUAGACUGGGACCUUAGUGGGGCUGUCUGCUGGAACACAAUCCCGUGGCCUCUCCCUGUGGCCUGGACUCCUUACAGCAUGAUGGGUGGGAUCCAAAAGCAAGAAUUUCAAGAAAGAGGAAAUAGAAGCUGCUCAUUUCUUAAGGACUGGGCGAGAAACUGGCACAGUACCACUUCUCCUGUUUUCUGUUGAUCAAGCAGUCAUUGAGAGAAAGAGACCAUUCUUCCAUAGUAGGAAUGUCAAAAAGUUGCAAGGUCAGAUUUUCAAACUAUCACAGUCUGCCUCUGAUCACAAAUUAUGUUCCUCCUUCACUCAAAAGGCAGUUGGCCCAUCCCAAGACUCUCCCAAACAGUUAAUGGCAUCAUGGACAGACAUGAAGUUCAGAAUCUCAUCUUCUCUAUUACUUCCAGGUGUAGAUGAGGUACCUUAAGUGUUGAUCCUUAGUUACAGCUUUUCAAGAAUGAUUUGAGUAUCUGUGAACUAAAAAAGACAGGUUAUUCAUCUUCCACACCCAAUGUACAAUAUUGGAAUUGGCAUCGGAAAACUGUAGCAAGCAUUAUAGUUUCCUUGGUUAGGACCAAUUCUCUGUAGUGAUCUCUGCAGCUCUUCCUCCCAUGCUCUUGAUUCUACCUUCUGAAUUUAACCUUCCUUUUCCAUGGAACAUAAACUGUGUUUGCCUGGAGUAGUUUCUGAACCUGCUUCCUGCCCGUAAAAGUUCUGGAAUCCAAAGUCCUUUUUUUCCACCUUACACUAUCUCCUCCUUUUUAGUUCAAACUCAUUCUAAAAAAAUGUUGAGUUUUUAAAUGAUUCUUCCUGGAGUUCCUUCCAUUGGGGAAAAAGCCAUGACCACAAAUCCCUUUGGCUUACAUAAGUCCUUUCUAUUUUGGGGGCCUUUUUAGGAAAUCCUGUUGUUUAAUUAAGACAGCCAGGCACAGUCUAAAGUUUUUUAGAAGGAUUUUGUCUGUUUGAAUUGGUCUAUGAAGUACCUUCUGAAACCUUUCUGAGUGCCUAACAAAAGAUGCUGUACCCACCCUUUGCUGAAAGUCAUUUCAAUUUGAGAAGUUUGCCCUCUGGAGAGGUUGGGCAUGAGAAGUUGUUUUAUUUUCAAACUCAGAAAACCCUGGCACUUUUUACGUACCAUCUAAAUUUUGCUCAAACCAAAAAAGUUUCUUCUUUUGGAUGCUCUCUCUCCUUUGCAUUGUACUAUAAUCAGGUUGGCCAGAUGAUCAUAUUCAUUAUGGAACAAUUCCUUCUUUUCCACAUUACAGCAGAUGACAGUGUCACCAAACCUUCCACCAGCUACAAGUGUCCCCUUUCCUCCAGCUUUCAGUAGCAUUUUCCUCACUUUCCUUUAAGUCAUCAUCAAGACCCUUUAGACUUUCACUAACAUGCUCUCCAAGGCCCUUCUAGUUCUGCCUACUGGUCAAACACAAGGGUAAUUAUGAUAUUGUGAUGUUUAGUAAGAAAUAUAUAUUUGGUCUUCAGACUUUGGAACUGGGAGCAGAAUUAUAAUUUGAGACACUUUUAAGUUUUUGUUGUAGCAGCAAUCCACUUUCUAUACCAAAAUCUGUUUCUGGUACCUGCUGGAUAAUAAACAUCCCAAAACAUAGUUGCUGAAAACAACAAUCAUUUUUACAGCUCAUGGUCCUCAGGCUUGAAGGUGCUAAUUUAGCCAUUCUUGCUCAGAGUGUGUCGUGAAGUUGCAAUUGUCUGGCUGGGGCAGGGGCAUCUUGAAGGUUAGCCCAGUCUAUGCCAAUCUCAUCCCUCCUCAGGGAAUGUAUAAUAACUGGGAUAUGGAUAGACUAAGCUACUUAACUAAGGAGAGCCAAGCUGAAAGGCCAUGGGGACUUUCAGAGUCAAAAUGUUGCUGAGGCUGGUACAUAGGACCAUCUGCAAGAUGGCUACACAGUGCAAGUCUUCUGUUGGAAAAGAAAACCAAGAUGUAGACAUUAUAGAGAACAUGAGGCACUCUGAUUCCUGGUGGCUUUCCAAGCCUUUAGUCCUGGCGAUGCUUUGUUUCCAUAAUACCUUUGCAUUUUUCCAUAAACUUCCAUUUUUACUUGUGCUGGCCUAGGGAGAUUUUUGACUCUGACAUGCAACAUAUUGACUUGACAGGAACCCUAGAGGGAUAUCGUGAGGAUCUUCAUUAUUCUAAGGAGUGGUGGGAAGAAACAAUCAUGUACUUUAGGUCCACUGACUCAGAUACUUAUUAAUUCAAAGAACUCUUUAUUAUAUUUCCAUUAAGUAUAAAUUCUGCUAGGCACUAGGUAUGAGGAAGUAAACAAGGUUGCCAAGGUCCCCGUCCUCAUGGAGCUCAUAGUUUAGUGAGAACCACCCAGAGUCAGGUUCAAAUUCCUCCUGUGAAGUUGCUAACUGUGCCAGUUACUAACUGGGUGAAGUCCGCAUUCUAUUUUUUUCAUCUGGGAAAUGGGCAUCACUUUGUGGACUUGGUGUAGAGACUAAAUGGCGUAUGUGUAUGUGCAGGUAUAUGUGUAUAUCAUUUGGUACAUGGAAGGCCCUUAAAUAUUUGAGUUUAUUUUUCCUUGUCCUGUUUUCUUAAAUCAGAGUUGACAGUUUGGGCUGGAUGAGACUUUGUUGUGGAAGGCUUCCCUGUGCACGGUAGGAUGUUUAGCAAUAUCCCUGGCCUCUACCCACAAGAUGAUGGUAGCACUCCCUCUGACCUCAAGUGUGAUAACUAAAAAUGUUUCCACAUAUUGCGAGAAGGGCCAGGGGGAUACAGAUUAGGUGGGCAAGUUUGCUGCCAGUUGCAAACCAUUUCUUCAGAUAAAAGGCAGACAUUUAUGCCUAAAGCUAUGUACACCUCUGAAUUUGAUUUCCCAAUCCACCUGACUCCUCUUCCCUGUUUUGUUUUUGUUUUUGCUUCAAAAGUAAAUGUCACCAGGAGGAAAGUAGAUAACAAUGCCAAUUUUGUAGUGCUGGCUGGCAUUGAAGAAAGGAAAAUCUACAUAGCCCCCUCCCUCCUUCCUUCUCUGAGGCCAAGCCCAGUUUUGCUGUUUAAUUACCUCCAGGGAUUUCAGCAUUAACCAUGUCUGUUGAUCUACCUUGGCAGGAAAAAUAACAGGCUUGGCCAGAUCUGAUAGCAUAGAGAAAUUGGAGCCUUUCCCUAGCACUGUUCACACGGGCCCCAUCUAGGGGUUGAGGGUCAUAGCUUUGGUGGCUUAGAGCUGGAACACACUUGUCACUGCCUGAGGGAGAGGGAAAGGGUUCUGUUUCCAGGGGUUAACACAGAAUUUCACAGUAGGGGGCCAUGUCUGAUUUGCAUAGAAGCUAAAUUUGCAUGGCAAGAAUAUUUUUUAUCUAUAGACUGUUAUAGAACUAUAGUAUCUUAGUUUUCUAAAAGGCCCUUAUUUAUCCUUUACCUAAGUUUGGGAAAAAGUCAGUUGUUCAUUUUAAAUAUUAUGGUGCUGAUAAUAAUGAUUUUGUUUGGAGUGAGGGCUUGCUUUUGGUACGGUACUGUUAGAGCCUAUGGGUAGGACUGGUGUGGCUCUCUGACCCUCUGUCUUGCCACUUUUUGUCUUGUUCAUUUACUGGCCUUCUGCUGUUCCUGAAUACCAGGCUCCUUUAGGGCCUUUGCACUUGAUGUUCCCUUUUCCUAGAACAUGCCCUGUCUUUUUUGGCUCGGUCCGCCGUAGCAAAAUGCCAUAACAGACUGGGUGGCUUAAACAACACAAACUUAUUUCUCAUGGUUCUGGAGGCUAGGAAGUCCAAAGUGAAGGUGCUGACAAGGUAAGUUCAUUCCUGAGGCCUCCUCUCUUGGCUUAUACAUGGCCUUCAUCUCCUUGUGUGCUCACAUGGUCUUUCCUAGAUGCACGUGCAGAGACUGAUGGGAAGAGUAGGCUCUCCGAUGUCUCCUCUGUAAGGACACUAAUCCUGUUGGAUCAGAGCCCCAUCCUUAUGACUUCAUUUAACCUUAGCAGCCCCAUCUCCAAAUACAGCCACACUGAGGGGUAGGGCUUUAACAUUGAAUUUGGCGGGGUGGGGGGCAGGGGAAAACAAAUGUUCAGUCCAUAACACUCCCUGUUAGGUCUAAAUUGGUUUAGUUCUUGGCUAUCUACAACACAUGUUCCCCCCACCCCACCCUUUUUUUUCUGUCACUCAUUAUUCUUCUCUGUUUUGUUUUUUUUCCUGCCCUUAACACUGCCUAAAAUUAUUAUAUGUUAAACAAGUUGUGUUUGUUUAUUUUCUGUCCCUACUUUUUGGAUUAGUUAAGGAUUAAAUGAUCUAGCUUAAAUAAAGUAUUCAUUUAACAAAUGUUUAUCGAGUGCCUACAGCAUGCAAAGCACUGGACGAGGUUCUAAGGUUGAGUGGUGAAGAAAAGUUCACACACUCCCUGCCCUCAUAUUGCUUAUAGUCUUGUAGGAGCAUUCAUUGAAUACUUACGACGUUAGGGUUAGGGUUAGGGGUUAGGGGUUAGGGUUUGGGUUAGGGGUUAGGGGUUAGGGUUAGGGUUAGGGUAUGGUGCUGAGAAUUUAACUUAUUUCAUUUGAUCUUUGUAAAACUCAUAUGGCAUAGGUCCUAUUGUUGCAUUAAUUUUAUGAUGGGGACCAGUAAGGUGGUGUUUCAGGGCCAUUCACCUAGUUGGAGCGAAGUCUUGACAGUCUGAUGCCAUAGAUCUUGUCUUGACCACCAUGCUAAACUGCAUAUGGAAGGCACAGUACAGGACAGAGCACAUUUGAGUGGAUGAAUAAAUAUGCUUGUAUGUCUGCAACCUCAUUGUCAGAAAGCAUUUGAUACUGAUUUUUCUCAUAAACCAUCAGAAUAACUCAUAGGUACACUGUACUAUAAACAAGUUUGAAUAUAAAAAUCUACAUGCACAAAAUUGAUAUUCUGCGGCAUUAUCAAGAAUAUUAUAAAAAUCACUGCUGUAGGGUUCCUUUGCUUUAGUGUGUGUGAUAGAAAACAUAAUGGGGGCUUUGGAGGCAAACAGGCCUAGAUUCAAAUCCUUGCUUUAUCAUUUACUGCCCUUGGAAUCUUGGGCAGUUUCUGAGACUCAGUUUUCUCAGCUGCAAAAUGGUGAUGAUAAUACCCAGUUCAUAAAAUUUUAAAAUAUCCCCGCAAAUAGAGGAUACUUAAUUAAUGGUUGGUAGCUUUUAUUAUAUUAUUUUCACAGUGUAUUUAUUUUAUUUUAUUUUUUAAACGUUUAUUCGUUUUUUAAGAGACAGAGAGAGACAGUGCACAAGAGAGGGGGAGACGCAGAUCCUAAGCAGGCUCCAGGCUCUGAGCUGUCAGCACAGAACCCAACAUGGUGCUGGAACUCAAACCAUGAGAUCAUGACCUGAGCGGAAGUCGGAUGCUUAACCGACUGAGCAACCCAGCCGCCCCUCACAGUACAUUUAAACUAUAAUUUGAUAUUUAAAAAAUUACCAACCUGUACAGAAUCAUGUAUGUUAUAUAAAGUGAGGCCUACUUGGAAGAGUGACUUGUGUAACCUGAUCACUUGGAAAGAGCUAUUUCUCCAUCAGUUCCCCUGAGUGCCUCAAGAUAAUCCCACUAGUCCUGGGUUGUCUUUCCCCUGGAAGGAGUGUCUUUGGGAUUGGUAGUCUUCUCAGGUUCUGGGAGGCCAAAGGAAUCCAGGUCCCUUAGUAUACCAUGUGUCUUUCUCUCUGCCUCUGGAUUCAACAGGAAGGAGUCUGGGUCUGUGUUAGUGGGUUGGAUAAAGAAGAAAUGAAAAGAGAGGAAAAAGGAAAAAAAUUGAACAUGAGUCCAAGUCACAGUUCCCAUUGGAGCCCCAGAAACCAUCUUUCUCCCUUGGGCAGGACAGAAAGAAUUAGAAUCUUGCCAUCACGGGGCUUGUCAGACCACAUGGUGUCAUGCUUUUGGCUGUGGGUGUUUGGAAGGCAUCUGUGGGUUGUGCCUGCUGAAUAUUCAUUCUCAUGUCUUAUAAAAGUAACUUGACUUUUUUUUUUUCCUUUGGGAAACUAACCUUCUCCCACUCUUAUCCCUGUUCCAGGUCCAGGUAAGCUUCUAGGUAAGCCUAGCAAUUAGCGUGUUCCAUUCCUCUGGCCACAGUGAUUGGUUCAAGGUUGGCAAUACAAUCCAAAGCUGGACCAAUGAGGCUCAACCUUAGUGCUUUUAUUGGCCUUCUCUCCCCCUCAGGGAUGCUAAGCUCUGGGGAUGUAAGCCUGCUUCCUUCUGCUUCAACCCUCUAGAGAGAGCUUACCGCAGAGUGGAGUACACAAGGCAAGAGACUCCAUGCUCAUAUAUCAUUCCAGUUCCUCCAUCUUGUCAGGCUUCCAUUUUCAGUUACUUGAGCCAAUAAAUGCAGUUCUUCCAGUUUCUCUGUUUUUUUAAUCAGGUUGAUUUUGCUUUUUGACGCUUGGAAUCAAGAGAGUCUGCCUUUAUGGAACUGGAGUGAGUGGACAAGGCAGCCAAGAUGUGAGGGGGGUUGGGAAACCAUAUCCUAUAGAAGUCAUAGGGAGACCAGCAGUGUUCACCCCUGUGUGAGGGGCUGUUGCUGGUUGGGGCUGUUGCUUGUCUUUUCUAGUUUGUGCUCUCAGGAGUAGAGCUAGACCAAAGAGAAGUAGUUACAAAGGAAUAGAUGGUAAGUAUGUUCUUUCCAAUGGUGAUUACUGGAGAAAAUAGGUGGAAAUUUCCAGUGUGGGAGUGAGCAUCCCAUCACUAGAGCUGUCUGAUUCCAGGAGGCCAUACUGACCCUCCUGGGAAGGCUAGCUGGCUAGUGAAGGGGAGAUAUAUUUAGACUUACUUUGAGCCCCCUUUCUAUUUUGGGACUUUCUGAUUAGAUGCAAAUUGUUUGUAAAUAUCAUUAAGCCUGCAAUAUGUAUAAAUAAGCCAAUAUUUCACUAACAAGAUGUGCUUUUGUAAGGACUGUGUCUUGCUCACCUCUCUAGCUCCAGUACUAGCAUAGGGCAGACAGAGGAUAAGUAAUCUGGUGAUGAAAAGCAGAUGCCUGCAGUCUAAUCCUGAGUCUGUCACUUGUUUGAUGAGUGAUCUUGGGCAAGUGACCCCAUGCCAGUGAGGUUGUAUUCUGUCUCUAACAUGGGGAUCGUAUUACCUGCUGCCUAGAGUUGACCUGUGGAUUGGCCACAAGGCAUGGUAAGCACUUGUCUGAUAGCUGUUAUUAUUAGGUGUUCAACCCCUGCCUGUGGAGUAAAUGAACAAAGGUGCUGGGGGAACCCCAGAGAUAACCCUGUCUACUGGUUUUAGAGAGGAACUCAGGGUGAGUUUGGGAGGAAGAGAAAGUGUGACAGUUGAGGAGAACUCAGUUCUGCUCUUGCUACAGGACACAAUGCCUAUUUCUUACUGCUCCCAUGUUUUUUGGCAGAAUUCUGUUUUCUUCUUUUCUGGAUAAAUUGCCGUGUAUCUUAUGUUAGGUUUUCUAAUAGCUGGGUGGGAGAAGGAUAGGGAUCCUGUUCAAGUGAUUUAUGGGGGGCAGUGCUCUCAGGAGAUAGGGAGUGAGCAGGACUGGUUACAUAAUUUUUUAGGUCCAGAUACUAACAUAUAUUUAGUAUGAGCCUAGGUGGCUCAGUCGGUUGAGCAUCUGACUCUUAUUUUGACUCAAGUCAUGUUCCCAGGGUCAUGGGAUUAAGCCCCACGUCAAGCUCCAUGCUGAGCAUGUAUCCUGCUUAAGAUUCUGUGUUUCUCUCCCUCUGCCCCUCUCCACUGCUUAUGCACACUCUCUCAAAUUAAAAAAAAAAAAAAAUAACAUAUAAAACCUUUUUCUUCUACCAUUUUUAUUCACCUUGCCAUGGUAUUUUUAUUUGCUAUUUAAUGUGGUUCUAAGUAAAGGAAAAUGAAAAAUUUUAACUAUUAGCAUGAAUUUUACCAUUUAUCUUCAUUUUGUGCAAUGCCAAUUUGAAAGGCAAAUAUCACCAAAAUUACGUUAAUUUGUAUUUCUGUGGUUCAUCCCCAGAAGGUGCCUCGUCAGAAGACACAAACACAAGCCAGACCCAGGAAGAUUGGAAGGGAGGGUGUGCAAGGCAGAAAGAUACACCAGCACCUGCCGUGAUGCAUCUUGGCUGAGAAAUUUGAGCCAGGAACCUCCCCUUCCCACAGGCUACCCACUCCAACCCACAGUGGAAGGAGACCCUAAGCUUAUUUCAACCUCCAUUCUGGGACAUACAGUUACCUGCAUGGGGGAUAGGUGAGAGGCUUGUUCUUGCCACAAUGCUUGCCAAAUGUGCCAUGGCAUUGCCAGCCAGAAGAAGGGACAGCUACCAUUUUGCCCAACCCCACCUUUCCUAAUGUCUGCACUCAGGCCCCUGCCAAGGGCAGAGGGCUUUUACCAUCACUGGACAGGGCAGGGAGGGAGAGGUGGGGGAGAAUGAAAGGUGUUAGGAAGUAGAAGAGGCAGAGAGGUGCUGGGAAGUGGCACUACCUGUGAACCAAGACUCCCAAGUCUCUGUUCAUCUUUACUGUCUUAAUUUAAUAGGACUUCCCCUACAAAGCAAAUUCAAAGAUAAAAUUAUUAAGAAGUUCAAGAUGGCAAGUGCAGAGCAUUAAACUCCAAGCAAGAGGCCCUUCUGAGCACUGGACCCUGUGUGAUUGCCUUGAUCUUAUACUUGUAUCUCUGAUCUCAUUCUGUGCUUCUUCCAUUCUUGAUCUCUUCUGAUUGUGUAUACCCUAGGUAACUAUCUUAAUUUGCUCCCAACAUUACUAUAUUCGAUGAACCAGCUAUCUAGAUGCCUGCAGGUCCAGGAGCCCUGGCCACUAUUCCACUCUUGUUGCCUUUUAUGGUAAUUGUACCCAUCUUGUUUCAUAUGGUUGAGUGCUUCCAUUUGUCUUUGCUAUUCUGGAAUUUCACUUUUUUAUUUUUCCUGGGGAACACAGUUCUGUUACAGCAUCUCCUAUAAAGGACAGCCACGAUGGAGCUUCUUGGGGUACUGUUGCCAACCUCACUAAUACUUUCUGAUCUCAUUGGUAAAGGGGGAGUCCUCCAGGCCUUCCCAAGGAGCAUGGUUGGCUGGUGGGUCUUCUUGUCUUAUAUGGUCGGCCCAUUCUAGCAUGCCUACUUCUCUGAGCUCAUCAGACCUCCCCUCCAGUUUGCAAUGGCAGCUGUGGCAUCUCUGCAUUGUUCAGUUUGGCUCAUUGCUUUUCCUAGUCUUUUAAGAGCCUCCCACCAGCAUAUUAGAACCAACCCCUCGGGCCAUCCUGUGGCACUGGAGAGAGGACCCCUUCACAUCAACAAACUACGUUAUCGAGCUUAUAUCUUACCUGCUUUGAUCUAUCACCCUUGGAAUCCUCCACAGACAUUCUCCCUCAGUUUGGUUUAUGAACAUUGGCCAGAUCUGAUAUAUAAUCCCUUUCUUUCCUCAGUAAGCCUAGCAUUUUCUGAGUUGGUCCAUGCUAAGGUUUUACCCCCAUGAUCAGUCUGGUGGCCAGGAGUGGAGGUGGGACAAAUCUAUAGGAGGGAAGAUAUUGCUUUAUAAAGCACCUGACUCAUUUUUAAGCAAGGUAGAGUGUUUAUCUUCCAGUAAGGGAACAGGGACACUUCAGCAGGUCCACAGGAUUCAGGACUCUCUUGGUUUAUCUCUACAGAUAGCCUCUCCCAAGGAUCAGUGUCCCCUCUUUCCCUGUCAGGGCCUUGUCUUUGGUGUAAAGGGAUGCACUUGGCAUUCUUUGAAGUUCUGCCAUUCUUAGAGUACAGUCCUGUGCCUGCUCUUCAGCUCUGGUAGCCCGCAAGCUGUGGGAGGUAAGUAUCUCUUUAAAUUAUUGCCAAAUAGGCCCUCUGGAAUUGUUUAUCAAUGAAUCUGUCAUCUUCUUUCUUCAACACAUUGAAGAACUUAGCAAGAACCACCCAAUCCCAUGGUCUGUUUGGUUAGCAUUUGCCCCAGACCUUUCAGAUGCCAGAGGGAUUGUACUAUCUGGUGUUCCCUUCAACUUCACCACUGCCUCUUCUUUGUAGGUGGAAGUCUUAGCAAUGGCAUUGCUGUGGCAUGCAUUUUGUUUCUUAGGACUCUUUCUGGUACCCACUGUUUUGGACUGGUUUCCUUACAAGCAGAACCUGAGAUGGGGUUUAUUGUUUAAAUAAUUUUUUGAUCUCAAAAAUAAAUAAACAUUAAAAAAAAAUUAAAAAAAAAAAAAGGGGGGGGUGCCUGGGUGGCUCAGUCGGUUAAGCGUCCGACUUCGGCUCAGGUCAUGAUCUCACAGUUCAUGGGUUCGAGCCCCGCAUCGGGCUCUGUGCUGGUAGCUCAGAGCCUGGAGCCUGCUUCGGAUUCUGUGUCUCCCUCUCUCUGCCCCUCCCCAGCUCACACUCUGUCGUCUCUCCCUCUCUCAAAAAUAAAUAAACAUUAAAAAAAAUAAUAAUAAUUAAAAAAAUAAUAAUUUUUUGAGGGAGCAAAAAAGGAAAAGGGGAAUGAGGAAGCAAGACAAGGUGACAAAAAGCUAAGUAAGAAUAUGGUCUCAAUAGGAGUCCUAUUGUAGCCUGAUGUCCCCAGGGCAUUCUGGAGCCCUCACAGGAUCAUAGAGUUGACCCCACCCUGGCAACCUGCCUGUUACAUCCUCCCCUGUCAGUCCGUGGCCUCUUCUUUGAUCAAGGAGCACAGUCUGUUGUUCUUUUCAGAAAACUGUCUCAGGGGAAUCAGAUCCUCAGCCUCAGGAGAGAGAAGAUCGAAGUUUGGCCUUUGGCCCAAUUUCUUUGGAAAACAGUUUCAGGCUUGAAGAUAUUUUAAUUCAUUGUAAUGCUUGAUAUUGUCUCUACUGGGAUGGCUUUUGGCACAGGGACAAUGAAGAGACCUAGCAAAGUGUGACUGUGGAGCCAGGUUUGCUUUCUGGGAUCUCAUAGUUGGAUAAUUAUGGACACAACAGGAAUCCUGUUACAAAGGACUUUGUCUUUGUCUCCCCUUGGUUCCUGGGAUGUUCACUCCAUGUUCGCUAAUUACGAACUGAGUUAGAGAACCAAUAUGAAGAACUUGGGGUAUAAGAAUUGAUUUCCUUUUUUUCAACCAGAUGUUAUGAGUGGGCAAGAGAGGGAAGGAUGACAGGGAAGGAGGAGGGUGUGGUGGUUCAGAGCCUGCUCCCAGGAGUCACAUGGACCUGGGUUGGAGUCCCAGCAAUGACUCUUCAUAGCAGCAUGGCCUCAAGCAUGUGGCUUCAGUUCUCUGAGCCUCACUUUUCCUCUUCAAGGAUGAUACCUGUUUUUACUUCAUGAUGCCGACAUAAGGCUUAAAUGAGAUCCUGCAUGAAAUAGAUUGAGCACUGGGCAUCUAGUGACUGCCUAGUAAAUAUCAACUAUUAUUGAUGGUGGAGUGUUUUCUGAACUUUUUUGGGCAGUGCACAUUCUAGAGGUGGCAUGAUAGUGUAGAAGAUGCCAGAUCUUUGAAAUCUGAGAGAAUUCGCUCCCAUUUCUAAAUCUGCCACUUCCUAGCUCUGUGACUGUGGGCAAUUUGCUUUCCCUCUCUGAUCUGCCAAGAAGGAGUAAAAUACCUGCACUGCAGAAUUUUGGUGGAAAAAGCAUACAGCCCAGGUUAUGGUUCACUCAGAACUUACUCAGUUCUCUUUCUUCUUUUCAUUUUACAACAAAGAAUGUUUAGCCCAUGCGUUUAUUUUCUCACAUGUGGCUUGCGGCCAAAGUUGGCAGUUAGAUUUUUAACAUUUCUCAAGGAUAAGAGGGUAAGGCACAGAAUGGGUGAAAGCAUUAAUUAAAUGCUGGCUUUGGAAGGCAAAAUGCUACAGCAUUCCAAAAGGAAACUAAGUAUUAAUUGGAACAGAAAUAUUCAGGAUCAAAUAAGCAAAGACAACAAGCUCUGAGAUGCUAUUUUAACCGCAGGAGAUGGAACCAAGCUUUAGGAGUGUCUGCUUGUCUUAACCCUUAAUUAGGAUGACGAUGGAAGGGAGGAGACUGAUGGCAGUUGGUAUUCAUUGGGUCCUUACUCUUUUCUAGGUGUGGUGCUAAGCACUUGACAUGCCAUAUUUCUUUUAAUCUUUCUAAUAACUCUGUGAGGGAGAUAUCAUUAUCCCCAUUUUACAGAUAAGGAAACUUCCAAGGUCAUUGGCUAGUAAGAGGCACACUAGUAUUAGAAUCAAAGCCUGAGUGUGGAGCCCCAGGUGGUAAAGCCUCACCCCAGUGUAUCACAUGGACUUCCUCCCAUGGACCAGCACUUUGAGGAAAUAUUCUGUUCCCUUACCAUUUUUAUAAAAAGGGGUUUUCCUAGCAGCUAAAAUGCUCUUUUAAGGGCAAUAAGUUUGAAACAAUCUUUCAUAUUGCUUAUAAGGUUUGUUUUUAAUGAUUGGAGAAAUGCUUAUUUCCAAUGGUUAAUGAACUAAGCAUGAAAUAAUAUUUACAAUAGUAAAAUCUGAAUGUCGAGAAGAAAAAAAAGGGGCUCAGAAAAAAAAUGUUUAAUAGUGUUAUCUCUGGUUAUUUGGAAGGAUUACCUCUUCCCCCUACCUCAAGUUUUUAUUUAAAUUCCAUUUAGUUAACAUAUAGUGUAUGGAAGGAUUACUUCUUUACAUUAUUUUUACUUUAAUUUUACUUCUUUUUCUUCUUCCAAGGUUUCUGCGAUCUUUAUUUAUUAUGUUGAUAAUCAGAGGGGGAACAAGGAUAAACAUUGGGAAAAAUUAUGUUGUAUGUUGUUAGUGAUCAGAGAUCUACAAUUGUGUAGAAAAUAAACACUUGUAGAACCAAACUAUGCAGAUUGGGGGGGAAAGGGCAGAAUCCAUCAGAAACUUUUCUUGUCUGUUAACAUAGGCUAAAUUCAUUUGGAACAACAAAUUUGCCCCACCAAGAGUGACUGACAUAGCUUCAGAUCCAAUGUAUCAGUCUAAUGGGUGCAGCAUGAGCGCAGUGUGACCACCAGCUGUGAAUAUCCAGGGCUGGGACACCAAGAUGGGACACUGAUGAGUGGGGACGGUCUGUGAGAACACGUUUUUACAUGGAUGAGGUGCCUGGGAGAAUGGCAGACUUCACACCACCAGCUAGUUUUCUGUAUGGCCCCAGGAAGUCUCGCAUUAGAGAUCUUUAAAACAAAACAAAACAAAACAAAACAAAGCGAAACAAAAAACAAAACUCUGUUAGCCUUCACUUAAAAUUUUGAGCUCUAAAUACUAUCAUUAAAAAACAAGAUACAUCAUUUAAACAUUUCCAAUGUACCAAACACUGUCCUAAAUACUAGGAUAUAAUAGUGACUAGGAUGAGGUUUCAGUUCUUUUUUUCUUUUUUUUUUUUUUAAGAUUUUAUUUUUAAGUAAUCUCUACACACAACAUGGGGCUCGAAAAGCCCCAAGAUCAAGAGUCGCAUGCUCCACUGACUGAGCCAGCCAGGCACCCAGGUUUCAGUUCUCAUAAAGCUUACAUUCUACUUCUACAUCAGUUUUUAAGUCAAUAGGCAGAGUUUGUGUUAUUCUGUAUAAAUACUGUUCUUUGUUCAGCCAAAAGUUAUGCUCUGAUACUUUUUUGUUUCUUGUUUUUUAUACAACUGCUGUUUUUUUUCUAGUUGAUGCGGUCCUUCAGUAUUUGUCAUUUGCUUAGUUUUCAAGGUACUUAUUGCUCUUUAUUCCCAUUGCUGCUAAAAUCUGUCAAAUGCCUAUCAAUAAUAUUUCUAAAUGUUCAGAGACAUCGGGUACUCCAUUCAAUACUUUGUUUCUCCUCUCCUCUCUCCCCCUACCAGAGACAUCUCUUCUGCUUCCUUACAUCUUUCUUCUCUCAUCUGGACAGCUGAUACUUGCCCACACUUGUGGGUUGGGCCCUCUGUUUCCUGGAUUCGGCGUCUUCCCUUGUGUUACUGUGUUCCUUAUAUAUUCUUCACUACCUCCAUAAGAAAGAUUGCUUAGGAGAUCUCGCAUAACUGAUUAUGUAGCUGGGCUUCCCUCGUACUUGGUUCAUAGUUUAUCUUUGUACAUAAAUGUUGACUGAAAAUGAUUUUCCAUCAGAAUUUUGAAGCUUAUUGAAAAAUCUGGUGCAAUUACAACUUUCUUUGCUUUGUAGGUGAAUAUUGUUUUUUUCCUCUCUGGAUUCUUUUAGGGUUUUCUCCUUAUUUCAGCACAGUGACAUUUCUCAAUGAUGGAUUAAAUUUAUUUUUCUGGGUGUUUGGUGGGAUUUUUCAAUCUGAAAACUCAUGUCUGUCCAUUUGGGAGGUUUAAUUUCUAGCAAAAGCUCUGUUAACUGACUUCUACUUAAUUACAUUGCUAGAUUAACCCACACUAUCCAUUCUGCCUGAAAAAUAUAUUGACAAAUGCUCACAGCAUUCUAAAUGCUCAUACAUAGGAGUAAAUAAAACCCAUAGUUUUUAUUUCCAUCAGUUGACUUGUGUGCUAAUUACCACUAUCAGUCAGUUGCAUUUGUUCCCAAACCUGCUUAUGCCAGUUGCACUUGCUAUUAGAAUUAUAUAAAUUAGUUAAAAAUUGUACCUACCAAUGAACUUAAGUAUGAAAAGAGAGUUGUUACCAGGAAAACCAGGUUGAAAACUUUGGGAAAAAAUGGAUGAAGUCAAUUUGCUUAAGUAAAAGACUGAGAAGGGGCGCCUGGCUGGCUCAGUCCGUUAAGCAGCCGACUUCAGCUCAGGUCAUGAUCUCGCGGUCCGUGGGUUCGAGCCCCGCAUCGACCGCUUAACCGACUGAGCCACCUAGCACAGCUGAGCUGUCAGCACAGCUGAGCUGUCAGCACAGAGCCUGGAGCCUGUUUCAGAUUCUGUGUUGCCCUCUCUCUGACCCUCCCCUGUUCAUGCUCUGUCUCUCCUUGUCUCAAAAAUAAAACAUUAAAAAAAAAAGUAAAAGACUGGGAAAAUGCAAACUCUAGAAUAAUUCAGCACUCAGAUUGCUUUGACAGUGGCUUUAAGUUCUUGUUCUUUUUUUUUUUUUUAAGUUUAUUUAUUUUGAGAGAGAGAGAUUGAGAAAUUGUAGAGGAGGGGCAGAGAGAGAGGGGGAGAGAGAGAAUCAAAGGAGGCUCCGUGCUGUCAGUGCAGAGCCCACCUCGGGGCUCAAACUCAUGAACCAUGAGAUCAUGACCUGAGCCUAAAUCAAGAGUCAGACACUUAACUGACUGAGCCACCCAGACACCCCAGUUAUUGCUCUUCUUUAAAGAAAUUGAAAUCGGAAGUUUUAGACAAUGCAUUCUAGGAAAUGCAUUGGAAAUGGCUUAAAGAUCCAGUUAGCAGACCGAUACUCAAAGAAAAAUCCUUGGCCUGAAUGAAAAGAUUGGUGAAUGAGUGCAUAUUUAUGUUUAAAGCAAAAAUAAAAUGGCUAAAAACUUACUUUAAAGUGUAGAGACCUGACAGUUGUCACUUAAUCAAAUGAUAAAGUUGACAUCACCAAUACUGGAUCAAACUGUACCUCCUGAUAGGAUGCACUGAGAAGGGAUACCAUGUCCCUGCAGUGGUAUUUUGCCAAAAAUGUAAAAUGCCAAUCUCUUCAUAAGGAAACACAAGAUAAACACAAGUUGGGGGAUGUUCUACAAAAUAACCGGCCUGAACAAUUCAAACACGUCAAAGUCAAGAAAGACAAUAAAAGGCUGAGUAAAGGUGAUCAAAGAGACAUAAGAACUAGAUGUGUGGCUCUGGAUUGGGUUCCAAACAGGCAAAACGUUAAGAUGUUUUUAGGACAGGGCACCUGGGUGGCUCAGUCCUUAGGCAUCGACUUCAGCUCAGGUCAUGAUCUCAUGGUUUGUGAGUUUGAGCCCCACAUCCAGCUCUCUGCUGUUGGCACAGAGCCUGCUUUGGAUCCUCUAUCCCCUGCCCCUCUCUCCCCUCCCUGGCUCUCACUCUCUCUCAAAAAUAAAUACACUUUUUUUUUUAAAUGUUUUUAGGACAAUUGAUAAAAUUUGAAAAUGGACUAUAGAUCUGUAGAUUAGAUAAUAGUAUCGUAUCAAUGUUAAAUUUCCUGAUUUUGAUAACUGUACAUGAUUGUGUAAGACGAUGUCCUUAUUAGAAAAUAUACUCUGAGAUAUGUAGGGAUAAAGGGCUAUGAUGUCUCCAACAUACAUACUUUCAAAUAGUUCAGAAAAAAUUACAUGAAAAAAAUACAGAGAGAAUUAUGAAGACAAAGCAAAUGGGGAUAAAUAUAAAUAACUGAUAAAUCUGGGUAAAGGGUAUGCAGUUCUUUGUAUUGUUGAUGCAAAUUUUCUCUAAGAUUGUAAUGAUAUAAAAAUACAAAGUUACAAAAAUAUAUACAGUAAAAAAUAGACGUUUAUUUUGAUAAUCUAUUAUAAUUAUUUCUAUAAUCAAAUUUCCUUGUAAUUGGCCAACCCUGGAGCUUCCCAGGCAAGAACAGAUUAUGGUGUCACCAGGUUGGUGUUUCAGGGUCAUGGGUUGAAUGUGGAAGAGCGGAAAGCAUUGAGGCUGGAGAGAGGCAGAAGGCAGAUGGUGAAGAUGUGCUUUACAGCUUAAAGGACUUGAACUUUGGGAAACUGGUGAAGGACUGUUAAGGAGAGAGUUCUGUGAACCCAUUUAUAUUUUAGAACGGUCACUCUAGCUGCUGGUAUGCACUGUGAAUAGAAGAGGAAAGGGGAAGAUGCAGGACUGAGGCUACUUUAGUUACUUAAAAGGGGAGUAACCAGAUUUUGUAUUACAUUUGUGGCAGUGAGGAUGGACACAAAUGGAGGGAUUCAAGACCACUUUAGAGGUGGAAUCAUCAAAUGGGAGAACUGACCAAAGUCACAGGGAGUGGGAACAGUACAAGUUGACUCGAGUUACCUUCUUUAGGUGACUAAGUAGAUGGUGAUAAUAUUAACCUGGCAGGGACUUUAAUGCAAGAAACGGAGGAGGAGUAGAGUGAGAGGGUAGAGCAAGAUGAUGAGUUACAUUAGAUCAUGAUGAAUUUAAGCCUCAGUGGGAAUCAGAUAGAUAGACAUAUGACUAUGUGCAAUCACCUCCCCCUCAGUUCAUAGCACACAAAGAACAUGUAUCUUAGAAUUGGUCAAGUAUGAAAACUCUGGCAGAUUGCUUUCCAGUUUAGCUGUUCUGUUAUUCUCUCCCAUCAGCAGUGCAAGAGGAUUGGUUGGUGUUUUCCCAUAUCCUUGCCAACACUUGGUAUUUCCUGACUUUUUCAUUUUUACUAAUUUGAUGGGAUAUCUAAUGACAGUUUGUAAUUCGCUUUUUACUAGUAAAUUUAGGCUUUUUCUUUUUCUUUUUUUAAAACUUUUUUUUCACGUUUAUUUAUUUUGAGAGGGAGAGAGCUCUUGUGGGGGGGGCGGGGCAGGGAAGAGGCAGAGAGAUAGAGAGGGAGAGAGAGAAUCCCAAGUAGGCUCUGUGCUGACAGCACAUGAAGUGGGAUACCAUUUCACAGACCAUGAGAUCAUGACCUGAGCAGAAACCAAGAAUUUUGAAACGCUUAACCCACUGAGCCACCCAGGAGCUCCUAGGCCUUUAUCCUUUUCUUUUUUUGCUUAUUAGCCACUCAAGUUUCCUCCUCGGUAAAUUUAAGUGUAUCUCAUUUGCUCAUUCUUCUACUGGGUUUCCAGUUCUUUUCUUGUUGAUUUUGAAGGAAUUUUUGAGUGUUGUAGAUAUUAAUCUCUUACCAACUUUAAAUAUUGCAGGUAUCUUUUCCCAAUUUUUCAUCUGUAUUUUGUUUAUGAAAUCUCUAAUUAAAAAAAUUUUUUUUUAAUAUUUAUUUGUUUUUGAGAGAGAGAGAGAGAAAGAGAGAGACAGAACAUGAAUGGGGGAGGGGCAGAGAGAGAGGGAGACACAGAAUCUGAAGCAGGCUCCAGGCUCUGAACUGUCAGCACAGAGCCCAACAUGGCCUCAAACCCAAGAACCAUGAGAUCAUAACCUGAGCUGAGGUUAGAUGCUCAGGUGCCACCCAGGUGCCCCUGAAAUCUCUAAUUUUGGUGUAAUCAAAUGUAAUAUUUUCCUCUGUGUAAUGUCUGCUUUUAGAGUGUCAACAGGUUCUUUCUCACAGGUCACACAGAUAGGAGUUUCUAUUAACUUUAUAAUUUUACUUUUUAUAUUUAUGCCUUUGCUUUUUUGUAAUUCACCAUUGUGUAUGGUCUGAAGUAGAGAUCCAACUUUAUUUUUCACAUAUGGUAAACUGGUUUUCCCAACAUCAUCUCCAAGAAAAUCCAUCCAUGUCCAUUUAUUAUUAUCUAACAAAUUGCUAUGUAUACCUGGGUCUAUUUCUGAGCUCUUAAUUCUGUCCAUUGGUUUAUUUGCUCCUUUAUAUCAAUGCAUUGAUGACUUAUUGUGGUUUAAAAUAUGCCUUAACAACUAGUAAUGUGGAUAGUCUUUCUUGGUUCUUCUUUUUCAAAAUUUGCUUAGCUGUUUGUAGACAUAAAUUCUACCAGUAACUUAUAAGAAAUAUAUUUGAUAUAGAUAUUUCAAAAAUAGAAUCUAAUAGUCUCUUGAGCAGUGAGUUUACUUUUGUUGAAACUAAGAUUCAUAUUAUAUAUGAAUUAUUCUUAUUUUAUGUUUACUAUGCUUUAUAUUUUAUUAUUUUUUUUCUUUUCCUUCCUUUCAUUAAAUUGAAUUUUCUUCUGUUGGCUUGAAAUACAUGCAUUCUAUUUUUAUUUUAUUUAUUUAUUUAUUUAUUUUUUAAUUUAUUUUUUAAUUUUUUUUUUAACGUUUAUUUGUUUUUGAGACAGAGAGAGACAGAGCAUGAAUGGGGGAGGGUCAGAGAGAGAGGGAGACACAGAAUCUGAAAAAGGCUCCAGGCUCUGAGCUGUCAGCACAGAGCCCGAUGGGGGCUCGAACUCACGGACCGUGAGAUCAUGACCUGAGCCGAUGUCGGACGCUUAACCGACUGAGCCACCCAGGUGCCCCAUGCAUUCUAUUUUUAACGAAUUAAGACAAAUAUUUGUAGUUAUCCUCCCUAAUAAUGUCUUAAACAUAAUACUGUCACUAUUUUCCUCCUGAACAAGACAAAAAUAUUAGCAUGUUUUCACAUCCCUUAUUUUUUCUCUUUUGUCUCCACUCGACAACUCUUUUCUCUUUUGUCUCCACUCUUUUGUCUCUAGACUUUGUCUAGAAUUUUCAUUUUGAAUUGUUAGAGAUUGCUAUGGUUAAUUUCAUGUGUCAACUUAGCCAGACUUCAGUACCCAGAUAUUUGGUCAAAAGCCAGUCUAAAUGUUUCUGUGAAGGCAUUUUUUACAGGUUAGCAUUUAAAUCAAUAGGCUUUGAGUAAAGCAGAUUAGACUAUAUAGUGUGGGUGGGUCUCAUCCAAUCAGCUGAAUGCCUUAGGAGAAAAAUGUCAGAGGUCCUCUGAAGGAGAGGGAAUUCUGCCUCUAGACUACCUUCAGACUUGAGCCCAAACAUUAUCUCUUCCCUCAGUCUCCAGCCUGCUGGCCUUCCCUGCAGAGUUUGGACUUGGCAGCCCCCAACAACUGCAGGAGCCAAUUUCUUAAACAAAAAAUUGUUCUCUCCCUCUUUCUGUCUCUCCAAACACAUCCUAUUGUUCCUCAGAGAACCCUGACUAACGUAGGUAUAUACUUAGAUUUUUUCUUCAACCAUUCUCGAGAAUGGUGUAACCUUGAAUCUAGAAUUGAGAUUUAGGAUUCAUUCUCUUAAAUCUGACUGGCUGGGUUUGAAUCCUGUCUGAAUCACUUACUGCAUGAUUUUUUGAAAUUUUUAAUUGAAAUAUUAUAUGCGUAUACAAAGGCAAACAUAUAAUUAAGGUACAGCUCAAUGAAUUUUCAGAAAAUGAACACACUGGUGUAACUAGUGAAAUAAAAAACCAAAACAUUACUAACACUCAAAUUUUCCUUAUGCCUAUCAGCAGUCACUCCUCAUACCCUUACUAAGGUAAAUCACAAUUCUUACUUCUAAAAGAGUAAAUAUUUUUUUAUUUACUCUUUUUUGUCCUAUCAAUUUUUGCAUUUUAUAUACAAGGAAUCAUACAGCAUGUAUGUUUUUGUAUCUAUCUUAUUAUGCUUAACCCUUUUUUUGGUAUGAUUAAUUUCGGUGGCUGUAUGUAAUUGUAGUCUGAUCAUUGUUGUGUAGUAUCUUGCAUAGUGUUUCAUGAUAUGACAUACUACAAUUUAUUGAUUGAUUUUACUUUUUAUGAGCAUUUGGUAUUUUCCAGUUUUCUGUUUGUUUGUUUGUUUUUCCUAUUAUGAAUAGAGUUACUAUAAACAUUCUAGUGCAUGGCUUUUGGUGAGCAGAGGUAGGCAUUCCUGUUGAGUAUAUCACUGGGGGUGGAACUGCUGGUUCUUCAGGUAUGUAUAGUUCAGCUUUGGUCAAUACUGCUAACCAAAUCUCCAAAGUAGGUGUGUCAGUUUAGACCCCCAUCACCAAUGUCACCCGCACAUGAUAUUUUUCUGUUUCUUUUAGUUGUCCUGGUUCUGGUUGGUUUGUAUUACCUUGUGGUUUUUUGCAUUUUCCUAAUGACUAGCAGAGCUGAGUACCUUUUAUCAGACAUUUGGUUAUCUUCUUUUGCAAAAAGAUCUUUUGUACCUUUUCCUAAGGUGUUGUUGGCCUUGUUCUAGUUUAUUAGGGUGGAAGAUUAAGUUAUUGAUUGAAGUCUUUCCUCUUUUCUGAUAUAGGUAUUUGAAGGUAUGCAUUUCCCUCUAAGCAUUGUUUUAGCUACCUCCCAUAAUUUUUUAAAAAUAUUUUUAACACAUUAAUUUUUGAGAGACAGAGACAGAGCACAAGCAGGGGAGGGGCAGAGAGAGAAGGAGACACAGAAUCCGAAGCAGGCUCAAGCUCCAGGCUCUGAGCUGUCAGCACAGAGCCCAACACAGGACUUGAACCCAUGAACUAUGAGAUCAUGAUCUGAGCGAAAGUUGGAUGCUUAACCGACUGAGCCACCCAGGCACCCCUACCACAUCCCAUACAUUUUGACAUUAUGGUUGUGUUUUCAUUCAGUUCAAGAUGGUUUUUAAUUUCUCUUGGGAAUUCUUCUUUGACCCACGGAUUAUUUAGAGAUAUGUUGUUUAAUUUCCAGAUAUUUGAGGAAUUCUGAGAUUUCUUUCUGCUAAUAAUUUCUAACUUAAUUCCAUUGUGGUUGGAGAACACACUUUGUAUAAUUUCAGGCCUGUUACAUUUAUUAAGACUUGUUUUAUGGAUUAGCAUAUGCAUCAGAUUUUAUUUGACUUUCAGAAGCUUUUAGCCCAGCUCAUUUAGCCUUCUGCCCUCCUGCUUUGGAGUCCGCAAACCUGUGGUCAGGAAAAUCAAGCAUGUCUGAAGGCUCCUCAUUUCUGUUUUUUCCACUCUAGCCACCAGCAAUAGAAGAAAGCUUUGAUGGUUUCCCUUUCCCCCAGUAGUGGCUGUCUGCCUGGGCCAAGUCCCAGUCCUCCACCCAUGUCCCGAUGUGGCAAAUGCCGCCAGGGGAGUGUAUCAGCUGCUGAUCUGAUAGCUCUCCAGUGAACUGUUCUCUCCUCUGUGGGGUGUUUAGUCCUUUCAGUCCUUAUUCCAAAGUCCUUGACAUCUGGAAAAUGUGAUUUUUUUUUUUUUUUUUUUUUUGGGUAAUCUGUCUAGGUUUUAAUAGUUGUUAGUGUCAGGGUUGGCCUGUUUAAACCUCCUACAUUCUACCCAGAAGUGGAAGUUGUUUUUCCUAUUUUAGAUAACAGCAUACUUUGCUAUGCUGUUUACUCACCUUUAUUUUACAUAUGGCUUGUAGCAUUCGUAUAGAUUUGUUUCUCCUCUCUUUAUUCUCCUCCUCCUCCUCCUUUUCCUCCUCUUCCUCUUAUUCCUCCUCCUCCUUUUUUGAGAGAGAGAGAGCAAGAGCGAGAGCAAGAGAGCAUAUGAGUAGGGAAGGAGCAGAGAGAGAAUCCAAAGCAGACUCCAUGUUGUCAGCACAGAGCCAAAUGUGGGGUUUGAUAUUGCAAACUAUGAGAUCAUGACCUGAGCUGACAUUAAGAGUCGGAUGCUUCACUGACUGUGUCACCCAGGUGCCCCUUGUUUCUCUUCUUGCUGGAAUACUAACUACAAAAGAAUUUUCAAAGAAUAUUUCCAAAGAGAAUAUUGUUUUGAGUGAUAAAACUGGCACUUUUUGUAUAGAUUAAAAUUCUGAGGGGUGCCUGGCUGGCUCAGUUGGAAGAACAUGUGAUUCUUGAUCAUAGGGUUGUGAGUUUGAGCCUCAUGCUGGGUGUGGAGAUUACUAAAAUAAAUAGGUGGAUGGAUGGAUGGAUGGACGGAUGGACAGACAGACAUAAACUUAAAAAAUCCAGUUUUGAUGCUCUUUUCCUUUAAAACUUUUGAAAAUACUGCUUUUCUUCAUAAUAGUAUUAUUCAUAAUAGUCCCAAAUUAGAAAACAACCUAAAUGUCUAUCAACAGUAGUACAGAUAAAUAAACUUUUCCUAUAUUUCUACAAUACAGCAAUGUUUCUAACUGGAAACAAUGUUGCCUCCCAGGAGACAUUUGGCAAUGUCUGGAGAUAUUUUUUUGGUUCUUAUAACUUGUUGGGAGAGGGAAGAGGAUUGCUAUUGGCAUCUACUGGGUAGAGACUGAGGACACUGCUAAAUAUCUUGCAUUGCAUAGGACAGUCUUCCCAUAAAAGAAUUAUCUGGCCCAAAAUAUAAGCACUGCUGAGGUUGAGAAACUCUGCUCUAUUAUCAGUGAGAAUAGAUGAACAAUUGCUACAUGGAUGCAAACACAUAACUCCCAUAAACAUAUGUUGAGCUAAAGACGCCAGAUACAAAUUAGUAUAUACAGUGUGCAUAUAUUUAUGUAAAAUUCAAAAAUAGAAAAAAACUAAUUCAUGGUGUUAGCAGUUAGGAUGGAGCUGUCUGUGGGGUACAAAUGGUGACUGGUAAGGGCCAAUUAAAAGGGCCUUUUAAUAUGAGGGUUAGUUACACAGAUGUAUUCACAUUGUGAAAAUCAAGCUGUGCUUUAUAAAUGGUGAGAUACAAAUAUAUAAUUAUUUACAUAUAUAAUUAUACAUUAUGUGAUAUAUAAAUUUUAUAUAUGUAUAUGUAUAUAUACAUACUUAUAUUGGAAUAAAUGUUUUUCAGAAUUCCAUUGUCUGCUUUUAAGAGAUGAUCUGUUCUUCCUCUUUGGAAGCAUUUUCUCUUUGUUUUUGAUAUCCUAAGCUAUCAUUUUAAUGUGAAUAAGAGUGGGUUUAUUCAUACAUAUCUGUUUGUCACUCUACGAAAUGUUUUUUGUAAAUUUUUAAAUGUUUAUUUAUUUUUGAGAGAGAGACAGAGUGUGAGCCGGGGAGGGGCAGAGAGAGAGGGAGACACAGAAUCCAAAGAAGGCUCCAGGCUCUGAGCUGUCAGCACAGAGCCCAACGUGGGGCCCAAACUCAUGAACCACAAGAUCACGACCUGAGCCAAAGUUGGACACUUAGCUGACUGAGCCACCCAGCCACCCCACUGUGAGAUCUUUUAAUCUAAAGUCUAUUCUUUCUUUCUAAUCUUGGGAAAAAAUUUUAGUUAUUGUUUCUUCAAAUAUUUUCUUACCUAUGCUUAUUUUUUACCCCUUCUGGGAUUUUUAUUAUCUAAAUGCUGACAGGUCUGCUUCUCUCUUCCAUAUAUGUCUUGUAGCUUCUCUUCUAUAGUUUAUUAUUUUUUCAUCUCUUCCCAGUUAUUCCUCUGGAUGAUUGUCUUGACUGGAAUUUCCAGUCUCACUAAUUCAUUCUUCAAGUUUAUUCAGGCCACUGAAUGGGUAGGAACAACCGUUGAGUGGUCUUGAGCUAUUUUCCCAUAAAGGCAAACAAAAUGGAAAUAAGGUUGACAGGAAAUACACAGUUUCUUAAAAAAAAAAAAAAGAAGUAAAAAUAAAUAAAAUAAGUUUCUGCAUUCUGUUAUUCAACCAAUCUAUAAAGUUCCUUUUAAAAAAAACAGCAUUGGUUUUUAAUUUAAUAUUUAAUAUUUUAAUAUUUAAUUGAUAUUAAAACAGUUAAUAUUUUGCAAACCAGCUUUGCUAAUUUUUUUUUUAUUAUUUUUCAACAUGAGUAUUUGUUCUUGAGUCAUUUUACAAACUCUUCUAUAUUUUUGAAGAUAUUUGUUGUGCUUAUUUGAAUUGUCUGUUCUGGCCCUUCAGCUGGGCUUUAUCUGAUAUUCAUUGGCUACCCUUUUGACUUUCUUUUGUGGUGUUGCUCGCCUCGGUUAUUCUAAUUUGUGAUCACACACACCAGCUUUCCCCUUGGGGGCUCAUCGCCUUGGUUGGGAAUGUGUGUCCAGGCGGAGGGCUGAAAGGAUUGGCCCCUGUUGUGUUCUGCAAAGUUUUAAGAAUGUGAGUAUGUGUGCUCGGGUGUACACCUCAAGAUGAGUGCCCUGGCCUUCCAGCCUGGAACUAACCACUGCUUCUUUCCCUGUCCCUGAGGAGUCUGGCUGUACUUACCCUUGGGCACUGCUCUUUCCAAGAGCUGUCUUCUUUGGCUGACAUCCCCUUGUCCUCAGGCUGUGGGGCAAGGAGGAGUGUCCUGAGCCAGGCCAUUUGUGUGCACCUGCUGUUCUCGGUUCCCAGCCCAGCCAGUGCCCUGCUGCUGCUCUGUCUCCAGGCACUGGCUGGCAGGCAGUCCCACCCUCAGCCCCCAUGGAAAUGCAGGAAAGAGCAGCUCUAAGGCCCUCUUCAGAAUCUGUUACCUGGUUGGCACUUGGCUGUCCUCCUAUUCCCUACGCCACUGUUUUCCAUCUCCAUUGGGACCCAACCAACUUCUGGCUUUCCAGAGGGAUUCCUCACAGUUUUGACAGGACCUCAGACUCAUCCAGCUCCUUAUCACUUUCAUUUUUCCUCCAGGGUCGGACUGUGGUGAGGGAGCCAGCAGCCCUUUGUUAGUUUAUCAUGUUGCUGGAAACCAGAAACAGCAGUGAGAAUGGACUUUAAAAGCAGCCUCUUGAAGACUCUUAAAUAUGGAGAACAAACAGAGGGUUACUGGAGGGGUUGUGGGAGGGGGGUGGGCUAAACGGGGAAGGGGCAUUAAGGAAUCUACUCCUGAAGUCAUUGUUGCACUAUAUGCUAACUACUUUGAAUGUAAAUUUAAAAAAUAAAAUAAAAUAAAAACC